AGAGCGAACGCUGGCGGCAGGCCUAACACAUGCAAGUCGAGCGCCCGUAGCAAUACGGGAGCGGCAGACGGGAUAGUAACACGUGGGAACGCGCCCUUCGGUUCGGAAUAACUCAGGGAAACUUGAGCUAAUACCGAAUACGCCCUUACGGGGAAAGAUUUAUUGCCGAAGGAACGGCCCGCGUCCGAUUAGCUAGUUGGUGAGGUAAUGGCUCACCAAGGCUACGAUCGGUAGCUGGUCUGAGAGGAUGACCAGCAUCACUGGGACUGAGACACGGCCCAGACUCCUACGGGAGGCAGCAGUGGGGAAUAUUGGACAAUGGGCGCAAGCCUGAUCCAGCCAUGCCGCGUGGAUGAUGAAGGCCUUAGGGUUGUAAAGUCCGUUUUAACGGGGAAGAUAAUGACGGUACCCGUAGAAUAAGCCCCGGCUAACUUCGCGCCAGCAGCCGC
rnacentral:rRNA from 1 species